rnacentral:pre_miRNA from 1 species
CAUAUACUCCCUCCAUUCGAAAAUACUCGUCGAAGAAAUGGAUGUAUCUAGACGUAUUUUAAUUCUAGAUACAUUCAUUUCUUCGACAAGUAUUUUCGAACGGAGGGAGUAGCAA